AUUGAACGCUGGCGGCAGGCCUAACACAUGCAAGUCGAACGAGUGGCGGACGGGUGAGUAAUGUCUGGGAAACUGCCCGAUGGAGGGGGAUAACUACUGGAAACGGUAGCUAAUACCGCAUACCAUCGGAUGUGCCCAGAUGGGAUGAGCUAGUAGGUGGGGGAACGGCUAACCUAGGCGACGAUCCCUAGCUGGUCUGAGAGGAUGACAGGACAGACUGGAACUGAGACAGGGUCCAGACUCCUACGUGAGGCAGCAGUGGGGAAUAUUGCAGAAUGGGCGCAAGUCUGAUGAAGCCAUGCCGCGUGUAUGAAGAAGGCCUUCGGGUUGUAAAGUACUUUCAGCGAGGAGGCGUUACUCGCAGAAGAAGCACCGGCUAACUCCGUGCCAGCAGCCGCGGUAAUAC
rnacentral:rRNA from 1 species